GUAGGUGGCAAGCGUUGUCCGGAAUUAUGGGCGUAAAGCGCGCGCAGGCGGUUCUUUAAGUCUGAUGUGAAAGCCCACGGCUCAACCGUGGAGGGUCAUUGGAAACUGGAGAACUUGAGUACAGAAGAGGAAAGCGGAAUUCCACGUGUAGCGGUGAAAUGCGUAGAGAUGUGGAGGAACACCAGUGGCGAAGGCGGCUUUCUGGUCUGUAACUGACGCUGAGGCGCGAAAGCGUGGGGAGCAAACAGGAUUAGAUACCCUGGUAGUCCACGCCGUAAACGAUGAGUGCUAAGUGUUAGGGGGGUUUUCCGCCCCCCUUAGUGCUGCAGCUAACGCAUUAAGCACUCCGCCUGGGAGUACGGCCGCAAGGCUG
rnacentral:rRNA from 1 species